rnacentral:miRNA from 1 species
CUUUACCAAAUUUCUUAGCGAGUGUAUUUAAUGCAAAUAAACCUAAUUGGUUUAUUUGCAUUAGCUAAAUACACUCGCUAAGAAAUUUGGUAA